rnacentral:misc_RNA from 1 species
GAACGCACCUUGCGCCCUUUGGUCUUUCCAAUGGGCAUGCCUGUUUGAGUAUCGUGAACACCUCAACUCUCAUGGUUUGCCAUGAUGAGCUUGGACUUUGGGGGUCUUGCUGGCCUGUGGUCGGCUCCUCUCAAACGGAUCAGCUUGCCAGUGUUUGGUGGCACCACGGGUGUGAUAACUAUCUACGCUUGUGGUUUUCCACCAGAUAACCUUCAGCGAUGGAGGUUCACUGGAGCUCAUAAAUGUCUCUCCUCAGCGAAGACAGCUCUUUGAACGUUUGAUCUCAAAUCAGGUAGGACUACCCGCUGAACUUA